CACUAAAAAUAACAUUAGUUGCUAGGGAUCCUGGAGAGACAGACACUAAUAGUUGAUGGUAUUGUGGUCCAAAGUCUGGUGUCUGAGUCGUCCCGCCAGGCGCCAGCUUCGGUCCUAGGUCACAGAUCCUGCUUCACUCCCCAACAUAAGCUGAAAGAUGCUGCUUGCUAGAAUUGAGACUGGAGAGAAGGGAGAUAGGAUCUGCCGUCAUCCCCAAGCCGGGUCCUGUUAGAGGGCAGAGAGGGUGACUCUAGGGCCCACUUCUUCCCAAAAUGGUAGAAAAAGGAAAGAAGAGAAAAUGAGAGAGAAAUUAGGCAAACUGAAGCCUAGAAAAAUGACGGGUUUUCAAAUCUCAAGAUUUUCAUUUCCUGGUCAUUCUUCCUUGAGGUAGUAAGGUCCAAAAUUCAUCAAUAUUUCCUAUUUUCAUAGAUAUUUACAGCAUGUCACCAAGAAAAGAAAUGGGUGUCUCUUAAUAGACAGUCAUGCCUCACGUAACCAUGGGGAUACGUUUUGAGAAAUGCAUUAUUAGGUGAUUUUUGUCAUUGUGCAAACAUCACACAGAUACAAUAAAAUACAGAAAAAGUUAACAUGUAGUCAUUUUUUUGUUCUGAGUUUUAUUAAAAUGGAAUAUGUAGAAGACAAAGCUGCAUCCAUCUUUGACACCCAAGUGCAAACUUGCUC
rnacentral:lncRNA from 1 species